AAGUCGUAACAAGGUUUCCGUAGGUGAACCUGCGGAAGGAUCAUUACCAAUUCAACGGUGUGGUCGCGGCCUCCGGGGGCUUGCCCCUGGGCGGUAGAGGUAACACUCUCACGCGCCACAUGUCUGAAUCCUUUUUUUACGAGCACCUUUCGUUCUCCUUCGGUGGGGCAACCUGCCGUUGGAACUUAUCAAAACCUUUUUUGCAUCUAGCAUUACCUGUUCAGAUACAAACAAUCGUUACAACUUUCAACAAUGGAUCUCUUGGCUCUG
rnacentral:misc_RNA from 1 species